GUCUGUUUUAUUUAUGUUUUUUGUAUCCUAUCUUUAUAGUAGGAGACUUGGGAGUGCUCUCCUGUAGGAUCCAAGACUUCUCAUCUUUCCGAUGCGAACUGAAUUAUGCUAGCAUGUCAACCAGGACAUUUCAGAGAAGCAUCGAAACGUGUUAGUAAACCUCUUACCAGAACACCCUCACUAUCGAUUUUUUUUUGUCACUAAAACACAAACCAGCAUGGGACAUUAAACAGGACCUUUGGUAUUUGGUGUUGGGAAAAUGCCCCCUUGGAUCUAGAGCUCUUUAGGAGUAAUGGCUUCCCGAAAAGAACUAUAGAGAAAAAGAAGGCAGAAUAACCCAGGUGCCUGAGCAUCUUUGAGGAGGCCCCGAUGUGACUACCUGAAACCAGUCUAUGUCAGCACUUCUUGCUACCUGAGAUAUACAUUAUUCAUGGUUUAAGCCAUUCUGAGUCAGGACUUUUUUUUUAUUGAAACUCGGAGCUGGAAAUAGCCAAGUUUACCCACCAAGAAUAACAUCUGGAUUAUGAACCCUGGAAAUAUAACCACUGUCAUUUUGUGUCCCUGGACUAUAUUAAGCUCUACCACAUGGUUUCCAACUUGAGAGUCACUUGUGAGUCAGCACGUUCUAUUUCAUCUUCCUCUAGAUCAUUUGCUGUUUGGUGGCUGGGCUAAAUUAAAAUUUAUAAACUCUAUCAUGUUAAAGUAAAUUAUAUUAUUAGUAUACAUAGUAAAUGUAUAUUAAAUUGUAUUUCUAUUAUAAUAUAAAUUUUAUUAUGUAUUAAGAAUAUUAUUAUCUGUUUUAG
rnacentral:lncRNA from 1 species